GAGGCCGGACCUGGGCAACCCCAGCCUGGAGGUGCCGGGGCCGGAGCUCCCAGAGGGCUGGGUGCGAGGCCUAGGCGGGGUCAGGUUCGGGUUCCUAGGCCAUAGCGGAGCUGCAGCCCAGGCGGCCGGAGCGGAACCCAGCCCCGCUCCGAGUGCCACGUCUCCAGGAACCCCCUCCUUACUCUUGGACAACACUCCGCCCCCGCCCGGGCCUCCGUCCCCCAAACCGCCCUCAUUUGUGCAGCGCCAGAUCCUUCGGACACAUCCCUAGGUGUCUCCAUCCUCAUUCGGUCCAUCCAACUCCCAGACCUCACGUCAACCGGCUGCACCCCACUUUCCAGCCUGCGCCCCAGAUCUGCAGCCUUCGCCCCUAGAUACACCCGCCUGGUGAUGAGGCGCUCCUCGCGUUCCUUCCGGGCUCCAGGUGUCCGUGAGCCUCCCUUCCGCCCUGGCCUCCGGUCUCUGCCUUGCUCGUGCUUCUACCACCACCCUUCCCCUCCCAACCCGGUGGAUCCUCUCGUCUCCCCCAGUCUCCAGUGCACCGGCUUUCCCUCGUCCUCUGCGCAGUCCAUCUCAGCUCAUCUCUCCAAUUCAAUGCCAUCAUCUCUCCUCACCAUCUCUCGGUGCCCUGGAAUGUUUGCUGUCAGAUGUCCCCUGUGAAACCCACAAACGCUUGCGAUUUGGCCUCCUUGUUUUAUUUUGUGUAGUCCUACAACGUCUUGUUACUACCCCCUAUUACAACACUUAUAACUCA
rnacentral:lncRNA from 1 species